rnacentral:rRNA from 1 species
UACGUAGGGCGCAAGCGUUGUCCGGAAUUAUUGGGCGUAAAGAGCUCGUAGGCGGCUUGUUGCGUCAGCUGUGAAAACCCGCAGCUCAACUGUGGGCUUGCAGCUGAUACGGGCAGGCUUGAGUUCGGUAGGGGAGACUGGAAUUCCUGGUGUAGCGGUGAAAUGCGCAGAUAUCAGGAGGAACACCGGUGGCGAAGGCGGGUCUCUGGGCCGAUACUGACGCUGAGGAGCGAAAGCCAGGGGAGCAAACGGG